UAUUAUUCUAAAUUUAUUUUUACCCUGAGUUAGUAUUAGAUAUAUACUUAAAAACUAAAAGAUUUGGCGGUAAUUUAAUCUUUUCAGAGGAAUUUGCCUAUAAUCGAUAAUCCUCGAAAAUCUUACCUAUUCUUGUAAGGAAGUUUGUAUACCGUCAUUAUCAGGUAAUUUUAAUAAAAUUAAUUACUAUUGUUAAAUAUUAUUAUAAAAAUUAGAUCAUGGUGCAGCUAAUGGGUAGGUGAAGGUGAAUUACAAUAGAGAUUUCUUAAGUAUUAAAUGGAAUAAUAAAUGAAAUUACUUAUUAUAGAAAGUGGAUUUGAUUGUAUUUUGAGUUUAAAAGNCUUAAAAAAUAUGANUUCNAAAUUAUGUACAUAU
rnacentral:rRNA from 1 species